rnacentral:rRNA from 1 species
AUACGGAGGAUGCGAGCGUUAUCCGGAUUUAUUGGGUUUAAAGGGAGUGUAGGUGGGAUAUUAAGUCAGCUGUGAAAGUUUGGGGCUCAACCUUAAAAUUGCAGUUGAUACUGGUUUCCUUGAGUACGGUACAGGUGGGCGGAAUUCGUGGUGUAGCGGUGAAAUGCUUAGAUAUCACGAAGAACUCCGAUUGCGAAGGCAGCUCACUGGACUGCAACUGACACUGAUGCUCGAAAGUGUGGGUAUCAAACAGGAUUAGAUACCCUGGUAGUCCACACAGUAAACGAUGAAUACUCGCUGUUUGCGAUAUACAGUAAGCGGCCAAGCGAAAGCAUUAAGUAUUCCACCUGGGGAGUACGCCGGCAACGGUGAAACUCAAAUGAAUUGGCGGGG